AUUAUGGAAUGGAAAUGUGAUUGGUAUUAUUUGAGAAGAAGAAAGAUUGAAUGCUGAAAUCUGAUUGUAGUUCAGCAGAGAGAAUAAAUCUGUGUUUGUGUGAAACACCGUAAUGUGAAUGGCAGUUCUGUGUGAAGAAUUCCAGUGAUUGGAAUGAGGAUAAUUGUGUGCUGAAAGCUGUAAGGGCAUAGUAUUAUAGUUGGAGAUUAUGAGGGUAAAUAUAUUGGUGGAAAAAGUAGUUAU
rnacentral:lncRNA from 1 species